rnacentral:lncRNA from 1 species
GCUUAAUUCUUCAUUCUGGUUAAAAGCGUCUCUGAGUUUAUUGAACAGGAUUUCCAGGGUGCCCUCGGCUGGCUGGAGCAGCUCAACCUGAGGUCAACUGGGUUGUUUAGGAAGGUGACUGAGAUGGAGUGAGGAGGGCAAGAGGUUUAUGGGGUCCAAAACCUGGGAAAGGAGAGGAGGGAAGAAAGAAGGUUGGUCAAGAAGGGCAGAUCUGACAAAUUCUUGGCCAACUCGAUAGGGAGCUCUGGAGCACACACCACCAUCAGAGAAGUCCCACAUGGGCAGACGCGGCUGGGCCCUAGCAGCCUGGCCAAUGAGAUGGGGGCUUCCUGGGAAGAGUGUGGCCUUGGCUGGAAGGCGCAGGUGGAUUCUGAGGGCAGAGCCAGCUAGAGGCUGUCGGUUGACUGCUCCCCUCGCAGCUGAAGAGUAAGUGCUUCUUUAAAGAGAGAUCCGAACUGGUGCGCCUUCUUGGUUGCACAAGUGCAUAUACCAUGAGGAAAUAUGUCUGAAAGGAGACGCAAGUUCAUGGGAAGGUAGAAAAAAGUAGUCGUUCUCUGAAGCUUUAUGAGUUUAUGGUUAAUGUGAGUGGGCAUAGAAGACAGAGGGACUGAAGGGAAACAACCGGUAAAUCUAAGGACUUGGGGAGGGUAGUGGUUGGGAAGCAGGGGGAUCUGGAUGACAGUUAAAUAACAAAGUGAUCAAAAUCUUCCUUGUCUUAGCAGCAAAUCCACCUUCCUUGGAAGGACCCAUAUGGAAAGGUGUAUACACAGACAAGAUAUCUGGGGUGGGAGGCGUGACCACCCAGAGCUUUACUGAUUCCUGUCCUGGCCUCACUCUCCUCAGUCAUUAUGCUGCUCCAGGCUGCCCACGGUUCCCCACCUUGAUGAUCCAGGGACUUUUUGUUGAAUUUACCAGUCCACCCUGCAGAGCCCGCUCUCCCAUCUGGGUAACACUGGGUGAAGGGAAGCAACAUCUUACUUCUAGCAAAUAAUUCAUUUGCCUUUGUAACAG